AUUGAACGCUGGCGGCAGGCCUAACACAUGCAAGUCGAGCGGAUGAAGGGAGCUUGCUCCUGGAUUCAGCGGCGGACGGGUGAGUAAUGCCUAGGAAUCUGCCUGGUAGUGGGGGAUAACGUCCGGAAACGGGCGCUAAUACCGCAUACGUCCGGAGGGAGAAAGUGGGGGAUCUUCGGACCUCACGCUAUCAGAUGAGCCUAGGUCGGAUUAGCUAGUUGGUGGGGUAAAGGCCUACCAAGGCGACGAUCCGUAACUGGUCUGAGAGGAUGCUCAGUCACACUGGAACUGAGACACGGUCCAGACUCCUACGGGAGGCAGCAGUGGGGAAUAUUGGACAAUGGGCGAAAGCCUGAUCCAGCCAUGCCGCGUGUGUGAAGAAGGUCUUCGGAUUGUAAAGCACUUUAAGUUGGGAGGAAGGGCAGUAAGUUAAUACCUUGCUGUUUUGACGUUACCAACAGAAUAAGCACCGGCUAACUUCGUG
rnacentral:rRNA from 1 species